GUCCUUUAGGGAAGAAUUUAAGGUUUGACCUGCCCAUUGAUUAAUUUAACGGCCGCAGUAUUUUGACUGUGCAAAGGUAGCAUAAUCAUUAGUUUUUUAAUUGAAAGCUUGUAUGAAUGGUUUGACGAGAUAUAAACUGUCUCUUUAUAAAUAAUAGAAUUUAAUUUUUAAGUUAAAAAGCUUAAAUUUAAUUAAAAGACGAGAAGACCCUAUAGAUCUUUAUAAUUUUAUUUUAUAGUUUAUUUUUGGAUUAAUUUUUUAAUUAUAAUAUAAAUUAUUUUAUUGGGGUAAUAAGAAGAUUAGAAAAAUUCUUUUUUUUAAUAUCAUUGAUAGUUGUUUUUAUGAUCCUUUAUUUUAGAUUUAAGAUUAAGUUACCUUAGGGAUAACAGCAUAAUUUUUUUAAAGAGUUCUUAUCGAUAAAAAAGUUUGUGACCUCGAUGUUGGAUUAAAAAUUAUUUUAGGUGUAGUAGUUUAAAAUUUUGGUCUGUUCGACCAUUAAAAUUUUUACA
rnacentral:rRNA from 1 species